UUUUUUUUUUCCAUUCUGUAUGCAGGCAAACUAUUUUCUUUGGCACAUUGUACCAGAGGAGAACAUACCAGCAAAAUACUAAAAUGAUUUGAUGCCUGAUAAUGGAAAGUGACUUGCUCCUUAUCAUGAGACACUGGUUAAUUCCAAUAGAAUAAUGUGUUAAAAUCUGUUUGGUGCAAUAGUGAUCAGUGGUGAUAGUAAUGCAGUAGCUUCGGUCGGACAACAGGUUGUGACCUGGUUCUUGGGAGCUAUUGAAGCCUGUCCUGUAAAAAUACAUUGUGAUAUAUGGUAUAUUUCUGUGUCUGUAAAACCUGGGCUUUAUUUGAUUUUUCUGCUGGAGUUUCAUUCAAAAUUUCAUUCUCCACAAUAUCCAGAUGCCUGUCCUGGGAAAUGUUGUACUCUUUCCUUGAAGUCUUAUUUUUGAUGUUUCACCUUGUGUUCAUGACUGUAUCUUAAGUAUGUGCUCUGCAAGCUCUCUGUAGGUAGUAAAGUUGUGUGUAUGCUGAUAAAGUUAGACUGUUCAUGUAUUUGCCUGAUGACCAUUCGGGACUGUUUAUAGUACCUGGAAAUAUGUCAGAUAGCCAUUCAUGUGGCAUAAUUCCCCCUUUGCUUUAAGUAACCACUUAAUGUACUACAUAAACUUAGGAAGAAAGACGCCGGCAGUUUGAAUAGAAGUAUUCUUCUGCAGUGAUAGUGGCUGGAUCCACACAUCCCAUGUUUUUAGUGCUCACCAUGUGGCCCAAGACCCCCCUGGGGCACAGCACCAGUGCCUGCAUGUUUCCCCUUGCAGCGGGAGGCCAGGGUGCCGGCUGCUGCGGUACUCAGCACCACAGCAUCGGGGGAUGCUCUCUCCAGCUCCUGCAGCUCUGCCACAGCUUACACAAAACUUUUUGAAUAAAUAUUCCUGCUGAAGCAUAUGGGAAAAAAUACAUUUUGUGUUAGGUAUACAUCAGCAACCCAGACAAGGUGUUUGGUGUCAUUGGAUCUGUUUUGUUCCCACGGUUCUUGGGCUGUGACCUUGACAGGGAUCUCAAUUUAUAUUCUCAAGGACAUCCACAUCUACUUCUUUUGAUUUGGAAGAUGCUAUGUAGCUAUUAUUUCUUUUCUUUCUGCAGGUGCAAGAACUGUUUAUUCUGUUAGGCACCACAGCUGUUCUGUGCUGCCUCACUGAGGUAUCAAAAAUCAUAAUUUUUCUACUGCUGUGAUUUCUUCUUGCCUGAAUAGGGCCUUUCUUUCAUACCCUUCUCGUCUUUUGGUACCAUCUCUCUAAUCUUUCCUAAAAAGCUCACAACCCUCACUUUUCCACAUAUUUCUUUGCCACUCAGUCCUCCUGUUUGCUUGUCAUAUUGAUCGUGAUGGCUAUUUUGCCCUAAUGAAUCAGAAGAUGGAUAGUGGUCUUUCUUAGUGAAAAGAUUUGACUUUUAGAGCUCUGUGACACUGCUAACCUCCUACUUGCUUAAGGUCCAGCAAGGAUUAACUCUGUAUUAUGAAAUCCAAGAAAUUAAAACACACCCAAGGCACCCUGAAUAAUAAAAGUUAUUUCUUUUU
ensembl:lncRNA